rnacentral:tRNA from 1 species
GCCCCCAUAGCUCAACGGAUAGAGCAAGCCCGUCCUAAGGGCGAGAUGACAGUUCAAUUCCGUCUGGGGGUA